rnacentral:rRNA from 1 species
GACGAACGCUGGCGGCACGCUUAACACAUGCAAGUCGAACGGAGAACAUUGAGUUUGCUUAAUGUUCUUAGUGGCGGACGGGUGAGUAACACGUGAGUAACCUGCCUCUGAGAGUGGGAUAGCUUCUGGAAACGGAUGGUAAUACCGCAUAACAUCAUGGAUUCGCAUGUUUCUGUGAUCAAAGAUUUAUCGCUUAGAGAUGGACUCGCGUCUGAUUAGCUAGUUGGUAAGGUAACGGCUUACCAAGGCGACGAUCAGUAGCCGGACUGAGAGGUUGACCGGCCACAUUGGGACUGAGACACGGCCCAGACUCCUACGGGAGGCAGCAGUGGGGAAUAUUGCACAAUGGGGGAAACCCUGAUGCAGCGAUGCCGCGUGGAGGAAGAAGGUUUUCGGAUUGUAAACUCCUGUUGAAGAGGACGAUAAUGACGGUACUCUUUAGAAAGCUCCGGCU